rnacentral:lncRNA from 1 species
CUUCAGAGGUCAAGGAUGGAAGUAGAGACCAGUUAGGGAGAGAAAGAGAUGGUGGAGGCUCAGACCCGGUGAUGAGCAGUCGUCAGGGAGGAGAAGCGACUCAGAGAGAAAAGGGGCGAAGAAGGCUGGGCCGUGUAGAGGAAAGAAAAGGCGCGAGAGAAGAAGACUGCCCGGGUGACCGCGAGGCCUCUGAGGAAUGGCUGAAGAGCAGAUCCAUCUACAUGGGGCUGGGAGGGGAGGUGCGGUCACCGCUCAGCCGCCGACUCAGCCGAGGGAGACCUUGGCCAGCCCCUGCCACUCCGCAGGCUCGGUUUCCUCGCCUGUGAAAUGCGGGCGAUGACUCCCCUCCCCGCCGCGACUGCUCAUCACCGGGUCCGAGCCCAGCCGCUGAC